AAAAACUCCAUCUUCUUCACAGUAACGGAUGACUGCAACAAUAUAUCACACACCAACACACAUCUUUCAUCCAUAAAUUCUCACACUACACACAUAAUUAUAUAUACACAACAACCAUACACACCAUACCCAUUAACAACAUAACAAAGGCACAUACACAGUGAUUCACGAAAACCAGUAAAACAUAGCAAAGGAGUGAGAGAGAUUUAAGAAAAUUAAGAGAGAAAGGUAGAGAGAAGAGGAAGAUCGAGUGAAAAAAUAAUGAGUUGAACGAAACGGGGAGAACAAUUCUCUCCGACGGACUUUUCACCGGAGCUGCCAUAUCCACUGUCGAUCAAGCUCCUGACCAAAAUCCGUCAUAUUUCUGUCCAAACCAAUCCGAAAACACUGAAAUUGACCUAAUCUGCCCAGCUCUAACGAAAUCGAUCGGAAAAUGUAUGAUACAGUGACGUCAUGCGUGAGUUGGGUAUGAUUUUCUCUAUCAAUUUAUUUUUUUUGGGGUUUGGGUUAGCGAUAAACAAAAAGGGGAAUGGAUCGAAGCCAGGUUUGAUCGUUCCGUUGAGGUUCGGUUUGAGAUUUUGACCGCAGAUCGAGUUGAACAAAGCUUUCUCCAUUUUAAUUGAAAGAAAAUCUUCAAAUUAAGGUCCAAUUCUACUCUUUUCCUCUUUUAUUUUAUUGUCCAUGAUAUUUAAUUGGUGAAAUUGAAUAUUUGUGUGUUGGUUGAUCUCCGUUGGUAAUGAAUUCAUGUUACGUAAAGUUUGUUUUGUGUGAUUUCAUGAUAUUUGAAUCAUGAAUGUUGGUUAAUAUUGGAUUCGGAUUUUUGAAUAUUCGAAUAGAUUGUUGUUGAUUAAGUUAAUCGUUGAUUGAGGAUAAAGUUGGUGGUAAAAAUUGAAAAGCGAUAAAAAAUAACUAUUGCCUCGGAUUGGUUCAUUGAUCAAGUUGAUUUAAAAUGAACAUUAAUCUUAUCGAAUUCAAUAGUAUCAUGUUUAGGUCAAUAUUUGAUAGGCAAAUUUUAGGUUCGGAUAGGCAACUCGUAGAAUUUUAUAUCAUUGAAUGUGUGAAAUUCUUUGGUGAAUGAUUUUUUCAUUUUUACCACAUUUGGAUCAAUUGUAUUGGCCGGGGAAUACCCCAAUGUAUCUGUAUAUAUUUAUUCACCGGGAAAUGCCCCAAGGUAUCUUGUAUUCGGAGGACGUUCGUGAUGAAGGCCCAAGGCAUCAGGUAGAGCAUUAGUCUAGGAUUAGUUUAGAAUAGGAUUUACAUUUUCGUAUUUUUCUAUUUCUGGACUGUAUAAUUUGGACUGGAUAUUGUGUUGGAUUUGUUAUGUUUGAUUUCUUGUUUCGUGUUUAUGUGUUUAUGUGGUUUAUACAUUUUAUAGUGUCAAAUUAGCCGAUAUAGUUCAUGGAGCGACCGUGAUCGAACCACGGGAUCGAGAAGUGCCUAACACCUUCCCUUUGAUAAACAGAAAUUCUUAACCGUAAUCUUUGUUUGCGGAUCAGUUUUAUAGUCAAACCAUUUUGAAAAAGGAUUUUCAAAGGUGACUUGGCACACCCGAUUUAUGUCAAGUGACGAAUCUGAAUAUAAUUGUGAAAUGAAUUCUUUUCGAAACAAAUCUUCAGUUUUGUCACUUUAAUAAUAAAAAUCCUUCCAAACUUUAAAAUUAAUUUCUUUUUGGUAAAAAGGGGGUGUGACAGCUUUGGCGACUCUACUUGGGUAUUAUUCAAAAUUCGAGUUUAUUUUACAGUUGUAUCGACUUAGUUUGGCACUAUAGGAGUACAAACAUUUUGUUUGUAUUGUUUUGUGUUAUUGUUUAUCAUUGUUGAGUGCCUACGUGCUCUUUGUUUACAGUUUUUAUCAUACUUGUUACCGCUUUAUAUCUGACAUCAUGUGCAUAACCAAAGUCAUUCUUUCUGCAACAAGUUCGUAGUACACGUGUUGUACACGACCUCUAGUUGAGUCACCUUUAUUUUAGGAGGGGGAGCCAUCGGUUGUAUGGAGUAGGUGAAAAACAAAGCAACCACUAUCGAUCAUAUAUUCCCCCGAACAACCUUUAGGUUAUGCUUAUGUGUAUCAUAUUGAGACCUAGCGGAGUCCAUUUAGUCAUUUAUAGGUGACUCACCUCUAAAGCAUUCCUACGUGCUAAUUGUUGCAUCUUUGAGGGUAACGAGGUCAUUUGAUAAACUGAUUUGGGAAAAAGCAUGUGCUAGAAUUAAAGAAAGUGUGUAGGCAAGGAAAAGUUCGAAAAAAAGGAAAAGGAAGAAAAGUGAGUCAUAAAAGAGUUUCGUAGUUUUAGAAUUCUUUAUGACUUUUGUUUUCCAUAAUCCAAAAAUUCAAAAAGAUUUUUUUUAUGUUUUGCACUCAUUUUUCAAAAAUCAGAAAAAGCAUCAGAAAGAUUUUCCUUUUGUUCCUUUACCAUGCAUUCAUAAUUUAAAAAUUUCACAAAAAAAGAUUUUUUUUAAUUGGAGCCUUUUAUAAAGGAAAAAUGUAAAAAAUAUGGUGGGAGUUUUGUACAUCUCUUAUAACGAAAAUACCAAAAAGAUUUUUCUUUCAUAGUUGUUGGUGUCAGUUUUAUGUGAGGUGUUAAAUUGAAAACUCAAAAGAUUUUAUUGACGUUGUUCAUCAUCCGUUUUUGAUCGUGUCUCUUAAGUUAGGGUCAAUAUGAUAGUUAAUCUUCAAUUGUUCAAUUUGAACGAACUACGCACCCCUGAUUCUCCUCUCUCGGGAGUGAGAUACGUAGACAGCCUUUCCGGGUUUGGGUAUCUUAUUUAAAAAAAUUCAAAAAAGAUUUUCUUCACUCUUUAUUAGAGUAAGUGUUAUAUAUAUCUUUAAAAGAAAACCAGAAAAAGAUUUUCCGUUAAUAGUUUCAAGUUUCAUUUUGGUAUGAAAUUCAAAAUUGAAAACUCAAAAAGAUUUUUCUUUGGUAAUCAUAGGUUUCAUUUUGUAUAGGAAUCUGAAAAAAAAAUUCAAAAAUAUUUUCUUCACUUUUCAUUUAGAGUAGGUGUUUCAUAUACAUCUUUACAAGAAAAAAACUACAAAAAGAUUUUCUUUUAAUAGGUUUAAAUUUCAUUUUCGUAUGAAAUUCAAAAUUGAAAACCCAAAAAAAUUCUUCUUUGGUAAUCAUAGGUUUUAUUUUGGAUAUGGAUGUUAAAACUGAAAAAAAAAAUCAAAAAGAUUUUCGUCAAUUCUUUUGACAAAUUGUUAUUUUCUUUUCUUUUUAAGGUUUCAAGAAAAAGAAAGAAAAAAAGAGUUUAAUUGGCCAUUUUGGCAAGACUUCAUGAACUACGCACACUUGAUUCCCUUCUCUCGGGAGUGAGAUACUUAGGCUCCCUUCUUGGGUUCAGUGAUCUUUUCAAAAAGAAAAAAAAAAAGAAAAAGGUUUUGGAAAAAAUAUUGAACUCUAGCGUAUUUGCUGUCUAUUGAUUCAUUUAGUUUAAGACAGUUGGUUUGUGGCAUUGUAGCUGGUCCUUCAUAUCAUACCAAAUCUAGGGAAGGUUUAGCUAUGUCCAAUAAGGAUACGGAGAGUGACCUCAUGGAUCAAACAAAGAGGUAGGAAAAUGAGAGUUUAAAGGAAGAGAAUUGGAGACUAAAACAACAAAUGAUGGAAAUGUAUCGAGCUUGAGCCAGUGGGUUGCCUAUCCCUCCAUUUUCUACUAUUGAUCCUACUAAUAUCUCAAGUUUUACAUCAAAAUCGCAAAGCCAGUUUCCUAUUGUUGUUGAUGCACUGUAACCGGACUCAGAAUUCCUUCCAAGCCAACAACAUCCCAAUACUUUAGCACUCUUCCUCUAGCUUCUCAGUAUAAGCCUGCUAUAUUGACAGCACCACAUACUGCCUGUGCUUUUGUUGCUUAACCUUUUACUGAGGCUUCCACUUUGGCUAUCAAUCCAACGGUUGUGCUGCCCUAAGCUACUAGUAGUCUCAUGUUCAAUACUCUUGAUGAUCAUUGCUAUAUUUUUUAGCUCAAAUCAAUGUUAAUUGGAUCACCAAGAUUUCUUAACAAGAAGCCUAGGGAUAAGUUUACACCAAUUAGGGAGUCGUAUGCCAAUUUAUUCCAGACAUUGAGAGAGUUGGGCAUGAUUACUCAUCUUCUUGGGCACUCUUAAUUCUCAUUCAAGAAAUUUUGAUCCUAAUGUACGAUGUGCGUAUCAUUCUGAUGCUCAGGGUCAUAGUAUUGAAGAUUGUCGAGAUUUAAAAAGAGAAAUUGAAAAGACGAUUCAAGAUAGAGAAAUUAUGGUGAAGAACAUUGGCAGUGAGGAAACCUUUAGUCAUGAUGAUAUGCAAACCAGUGGCUAAGUUGUCAGGCUAAGCAAUCGAGAAGUCACCCAUCUCCCUACUAGGAAGAGGUCUGGUAGUUUGUGUUGUUUUCUUUUCUAUUUUCUGAAUUAUUUCAGGGUUGUAGUUUGGGAUCUAUUUUAUUUUGUUCCUUUGUCGUUUAUGUUCAAACCCUUCUAUCUUUUAUUUCAACUAAAUGAAGUUUCCCUCUCCCUUUGUGUUUUAAAUAUGUGUUGUUUGUUUUCUUUAUACAGUAUAUUUUAUAUUUAUUCUAGUGAUAUGACAUGCUAGUGGAAUUUUUAGCAAGAUCUUAAAAUUCAAUUUGAGCAUGAACUUUGAAUCAGAGGGCUAAAAUUAGAAAAGACAUUCGAGAAAUUGAUAGAGUGUUGACACAUUUGGUGAUCAUGUUGAAGCCUUCUUUCAACAUUAAGAUAAUUAUUUUGAGAAUUACAAGAAUAACUUGGCCAUUAAUUAAAAGACAUGUCUCAAUUAUGUAAAAAAUGUAUGAUCUUAUAUCAAGAGGAACAAAGAGAAAAUCAAUUUCACAAAAUGCAUGAGUCAUUCAAUGUGAGGGUUGUACAACAAAGACGGAGUUGUAUGUUUGACAAGUGUAGAAAAAGAGGUGGCACAUGUGCUCAGGGCAAGUUAGUAUUAUAAAACAUGUCAUAAGUGAUAUUGAUCGUGCACUUUCAUAUUGCAUGCUAUGUACUAGCAUUUUAAAGGAUUGAUAUGAUGAAGACAGUUUAUUCUGCUAUCCAAAUGUUGUGUCAUCCUUUGUUUAACCCAUUUGAG
rnacentral:lncRNA from 1 species